rnacentral:rRNA from 1 species
GAUGAACGCUAGCGGCAGGCCUAAUACAUGCAAGUCGAGGGGUAGAAGAGGCUUGCUUCUUUGAGACCGGCGCACGGGUGCGUAACGCGUAUGCAACCUACCUUCAUCUGGGGGAUAGCCCGGAGAAAUCCGGAUUAAUACCGCAUAGAAUCACAGGAUGGCAUUAUCCAAUGAUCAAACAUUUAUGGGAUGGAGAUGGGCAUGCGUGUCAUUAGCUAGUUGGCGGGGUAACGGCCCACCAAGGCGACGAUGACUAGGGGAUCUGAGAGGAUGGCCCCCCACACUGGUACUGAGACACGGACCAGACUCCUACGGGAGGCAGCAGUAAGGAAUAUUGGUCAAUGGAGGCAACUCUGAACCAGCCAUGCCGCGUGCAGGAAGACUGCCCUAUGGGUUGUAAACUGCUUUUAUUCGGGAAUAAACCUUAUUACGUGUAAUAAGCUGAAUGUACCGAAGGAAUAAGGAUCGGCUAACUCCGUGCCAGCCGCCGCAGUAA